rfam:Medicago truncatula strain A17 chromosome 2, whole genome shotgun sequence.
AUAGGGUCUAGACCUGGCAUAUCUUCAUAGGACCAUGCAAAAAUAUCCGGAUAUUCCCGGAGGAGCUGGAUGAUCUUCUGUUUAACCCCUUCCUCUAGAGUAGCACCAAUCUUGAUUUCUUGCUUGUUUUCCUCGGUACCUAUGUUGAUAAGCUCAAUUUCUUCCUGG